rnacentral:rRNA from 1 species
AUGGCAUGGUUCGCAUCACUGGUCGUUCUUGGCGCCGUCUAUGUAGCUGCCUUGGCGUUCCGCCUCGUUCGGCACUUGGCCGUGUGCUUCCGGGGUCCCAAGGACAUCCGGCGGUGCUACGGCACGUGGGCCACCAUCACGGGGCCAACAUCUGGCAUUGGAUGGUCCCUGGCCGUGGAGCUCGCGCGCAGUGGGCUGAACCUUGUCCUCGUCGGCCAAGACCCGGCCAAGCUCCGGGACAUCUCCCAGACGAUAUGCAGGGCCGCUCCCACCGUGAAGACCCAAGACUCUAGUCUUGGGCUGUCCCUCCUCGCCACCGCCCACAGCGACGAGGCGAUGCGGCGGCUGCGGCAGACCGUGGAGGCGCUGGACGUUGGCGUGCUGGUGAACAACGCCGGCGUGCUGGAGCCCUGCGCGGUGUUCCUGCACGAGGCCGGAGCGGAGGAGUGGGUGGAUAUGAGGGUGAACCUGUUGGCGCUGACGGAGGUGACAGCGGCGGUGAUUCCGGGCAUGGUGGACCGCGGGAGGGGAGCUGUAGUCAACUUGGGCUCGGCUUCGUCAGAGGCCAUCCCCUCCUUACCACUCUACACCAUGUACGCCGCCACUAAACGCUAUGUUGCUCGGUUCUCUAAGAGUCUUCACUUCGAAUAUAGAAGCAAAGGAAUCGAUGUGCAAUGCCAGGCACCGUUCUUCGUGGCCGGCACGAUGGCGUCCGCCUUCGUGGAGGCCAGGCGCUUCAUGCCAUUGACCCCAACGCCGGAAACCUAUGCGCGCACAGCAGUGCGGUGGAUCGGCCAUGGCCCGCUCUGCGUGCCUAUCUUGGGACACCGGAUCAUGUGGUUCUUUUCGGGCAUUGUACCCGACUUUUUGCUCGAUGAGAUGCUCCUGCAUGAUCACCUAUGGCAGAGGAAGGAGUUACAGAGCAUAAGGUCGUUGCCCACGAGCGGCUGA